AUACCUACGGGAGGCAGCAGUGGGGAAUAUUGGGCAAUGGGCGCAAGCCUGACCCAGCAACGCCGCGUGAAGGAAGAAGGCUUUCGGGUUGUAAACUUCUUUUAAGGGGGAAGAGCAGAAGACGGUACCCCUUGAAUAAGCCACGGCUAACUCCGUGCCAGCAGCCGCGGUAAUACGGAGGAUGCGAGCGUUAUCCGGAUUUAUUGGGUUUAAAGGGUGCGCAGGCGGCCUGUUAAGUCAGCGGUAAAAGCCCGGGGCUCAACCCCGGCGAGCCGUUGAAACUGGCGGGCUGGAGUUGGAGAGAA
rnacentral:rRNA from 1 species